AUUUCUCACUCAAAUACUUGCUCCAAUGACAUGAUGUUCUCCAUCAGUGGUACAUUAUACCUCUCUUCGUUUCAUCGGUUUGUCACUAACCCAAAGAAGGCAGGCAUCAAUGAAACCACACUCCAACAGGUGGAGCCUGGAUUAGAUGAGUCGGAAACAAUGUACGCACUGCUGAUAACUAUUUAUUCCUACGGCGAACUUACAGGAGGAUUGCUGUCAGGUUUUUUAACUAAGUGCAUUCCGAAUUGGUACCAGUUUGUAUUUGCCAUAUCUCUGCACACGAUUGGCUACGUGUUAUACGGUGUUGCAACUAACGGUGGGAUACUAAUGAUCGGCAUGUUCCUGGCUGGAUACUAUUUGGGAGCACAAAUCACACUCAGUAUGAACUACGCAACAGAAAUGAGUGUUGAGUAUGUGAAUCUACUGAAGGAAGUAAUUUUAAGUACGAGAAGAAAGUGAUGAAAACUCGUAACUUCCUAUAUUCAGUCCACUCCAUUGGAUUCAGCAUUGGAUUUAUCAUUGGUCCUAGUGUUUCAGUAAUAUUUUCUAACCUUCCAAUUGAGCAGUAUCGAUCGAUUGCUUGGUUCAAUGUAGCUUUUGGAAUUAUAUUGUUAACCUUGUUCUGUUUUCUCUUCCGUGGAGAGAGUAAAUGGAACAGAACUAAUUGUCAUGAGAUUUGUGUCUGCUCAAAAAACAACUCAAGUUCAGCCAGGCCUGGACCACUGCAAAUAUUCAUAUCCUUUUAGCAUUAUAGCCAUGCAGAGCAUUAUAAUUAUACGAGACUCAGUCAAAAUUUGUGCAAACACACACAAUUGCACUGUCAAUCCUAUGUACACAGAGCCUAUAAUUAUACUAUAGUAAUCCUUAACACAAUACUUGUUUACAUUAUUGUGAGUAUGCACUUGCUAUCGUUUGUACAAAUGCUGAAGUGGGAAUAUUUUGAGGCCAUAAUGAAUCCAAUUCUAAGUGAUUCAUUUGGGUUCUCUCUAAACACAUCUUCCUACGUCUUUUUGGGGGUGGCUAUCUCAAGCAUUCUAGGAUCCAUCUUAGUGGUCUUGUUACAAAGAAUCAAAAUCAGCACACAGAUAGGAGCUUUUGUCGGUAUUUCAAUGACAAUUGCAGGAUAUUUCUUGGUAACAGAUUGGCAGACUAUACCUUAUGAUCCAUGCACUGAGUACAGUCCAUUCCACCAUCCGGAUCGCUUUCAAAACAACCACUCAAGUCUACGAAAACAUUUAGCUUUGGAUAAUACUCCCCCAAGUUGGCCUACUCUCUUAAAUAAUCGUGCACACAUGGAUGUUGAGUUGGAUUUUGGCGAUCGAACGUACACAGAAAUUGCUUACCACUUCAAUUUCAGCUGUUACAUUAAUGAAUUUUGCCCAUUUUGCACGGAGAAAUCUAUCAGUAAGCACCGGUGUUUGUCGUUUGUAAUUGAAGGUGAAAACGAAUCCUCAGAACAGGUGCUCGAGAUGUUUUCCUGUUCUUUAGCUCCUCCUUUACAAAAUAUUUGCCUUAGUAUUUCUCAUCAUCAAUCAACUGAUCCUGAGGGAAGUUGAAAAUUUAAAUCAAAAUCAUUUCGUGGCCGGCAUUCAAAGCUUAAUGGUACUCCCUCAAGAUGUGUACUCCACUGCAAGCAAUGCCUGUAUAAAUGCCAAUGUAUCAAUUAGUGGAGAGUGUCAUUGGAUACCGUUGUCAAGUGGUGAGGAAUGUGUGGAUUGUCCUCCUAUCUGCAGAGGAAAGCAACGGACACUACUGCUACCAUUGUAUCUGAUAGGGAUGGUGCUAUUGGUAGGAAGCCACACUAUUGUCUGGGUGAAUUUGGUGGCCAUAGCUAACAACCAGAGUCCUGAAAGUGUUCAGGGUAUUGUGAUAGGAAGUAUCAAUGGAGCAAAUGGACUUGCUGAGAGUAUCAGUCCUGUGGUUGUCGAUUUACUCUAUGAAAAGACAAAGAAAAGAACUUUCGUGCCAUCUAUUCUGUUUGCUCUGUUGCAUAUACCAUUUCUCAUAGAAAUCAUCGUAUUGUACAAACCCUUAGGACCUUCAUAUAAGCUCACUGAAUAUAGAUCCACUCUGCCCAAAGAACAAUCGUCUGAGAGAGAGUGUGAUUCUCCUUGAUGAUUGUCCUUGAUUUACUAAUAAUUCUUCAACAUUGAAAUGAUGUAUGAUUUUGUAUAGCCAGAGUAUUCCUGCAUUGACACUGUAG